AUCCGACUGACGAGUCCCAAAUAGGACGAAACGUGCAUCCUGGAU
rnacentral:hammerhead_ribozyme from 1 species